CCAACAGCGAAGUCGAAGUCGUGGUCAGGAGUAAGACUGAGCUGGGUAGAGAUAGUAAGGAAGCUGAACCCCAUCCUAACUGAUGUAAAAGAGACAGGCCAAGGCUGUCUUUGGAACGGAAAAAGAACAAGAUUUUCAGAUUUUCACAUGAUUUUCAUAACAGAAGCUUUGGAUGAGGGGCACUGGAUAGCUGGGGAAGACGCAAGAGGGAGAAUUGCUUUACAACCCUUUGGUAUGUGUUGAGAUCUAACUCACAAAUGUGCAAAUGUGUUACCUUUCUACAUGUGUCCACACAAGGCAUGGCCAUUUUCCCUGUUCCCUCACCAAGAUUUUGGUUCAGUAGGUCUGGGGUGGAGAUUGAAUGCCUGAUUUAAAAACAAUCACACAAACAAACUCCUCACAGGUAUUUGCCACACACUAGUUAAGAAUCCUUGCUAGUGGAAAUAGUAAUAUUCUUGCUCCAAUCUGGUACAUACCACACAUAUUUGCUGGGGAGAUGAGAAGGCACAUAUUUGUACUUGAUGAUUACUUGAAGAGGGGAGAAGCAGAAUGUUUUCACAGCUCAGAAAUCUCAAAUCCAGUGCACUUUGGGAGAAAAGGUGGCUCUAAUCACUCAUUUUAUUCUCACCCUGCCUUCUAGGCUAUUGUCACUCCAGUUCCUAGCUUAAAACUGUACGGGACAUUUCCAGUAUAGAGCCUGCUGAGAAUGAACAUGAAAUCAAGGA
rnacentral:lncRNA from 1 species